CUUUAUAUACCUUUUCGCUCAUCUAUUUUGUUACUGAAGGGAUUGACUUUAGACUUUAAAUUGUUGUCUUUUUCCAUUAGAGCAUAGAAAUGUCUGUUUUGACUUUUAUUGACAUGGUUACAUGCAUAUAAUGUGGUGCAAAAUUUUGAACAUUUGAGUGCUUUCUUAAUACUGAUACAGAAAUAUAUUAAAAUCAUAAUUUAUUAUUUUCUAAUAGUUUCUCUCCCUUUACUGCGUCCGGUAUUUAAUAAGUCGAGCGUGCUGUCUUCUCUGACAGCUCUUGUUUUUUAUGACGGUCAUCCAGUUUCAACCAGUUUUUAAGUCGUUUCAUGCGUGUCAUAAAAAGCUAUAGGUUGACGUUCCACAGUCUUUAAUUAUGCAGAAAAUAUGCUAACAUAAAGACCUGCUUUUCACCAGUUCCAACCAGUUUUUGGGUCGGUUUCAUGCCUGUCAUAAAAAAGCUAUAGGUUGACGUCCCAGAGUCUUUAAUCAUGCAGAAAAUCUGCUAAAAUGACACGUGAUAUUCACGUGAUCUAUUAAACUGCCCGAUUUCAUAGUUUAUACGUAUGAUUUCGCUGAAUCAUACAAACCAUGCUAUUGUUCUCUUGACGGAAGUGCCUGUAAAAGCUGGCAAGUUGGUGUAUAUUUUAACCUAGAAAAAAUGGCGAAGACGGGAUAAAGCAAAUUUGAUGAAAAUCAGCCGUAUAGUCAUUAGAAUCAUUGGACGAGAUACAACUGUUUUGCGCUGAUCACGCGAUAAACUAGUAACACACAGUGCAUUUAUAAAUUAUUCUCUCUUAUUUUAAGUAACUAUGCUGUCACUUGACAUGUUAUAUAAUUACAAUUUAAAUCAAGCACAGCAAAUUAGACACUUGGCAUGUCACACAUUUUCUUUUAGAUUUGUGAUAUUUCCGGGUAAUUAUAAAGUUUCAACCUGGCAAGCGACCUUUUGUAUUAACGGCCCGCCUAUAAAUAAAAGAAGGAUUGCACCCGUUGUAUGGAAACAUCGGCUUGAAAGUUAUAUUCCUGAUAUCAAAGUGGUCAUUGGAAAUAGGCUUACUUGCAUAUUUCCUCAGUUACUCGGAAACGAGACCGCAGAUUGCGGCGAAUAUUUCCGAUCCUGGUUCGGCUUUACAAAUUGCCUGCCCAACCUUUCAAAAUCUGUUCAUAUUAUCCGACAAUGUUGUCUUUAGAAAUAUAUCCUCAAUGUCGUUUAAAAAUCGGUCAAAUUUACAGUAAUUUGAAAAAAGGAACCUUCAGAUUUGACCGAUUUUUAAACUAAUAGAUUAAAAGUAUCUUUUAGGAGGUCGUACACCCAGAUAAUACGAAAAGAGGUCGACAGCAUUAGCCGCAAUAUGUGGUCCCGUUCCCCGAGUCCACUUUACACAAAUUACCUCCCUUGAACUUACAUUUGUUAUGGAAAUGAAUUGCGCAGUGUUGGGCUUUCUGAACUGAUCUGUCAUAAUUUAAAAAAAAAUAUUAUGCACUUACGAAAAGUCUUAAAUUGUAAUUGUUCAUUGCGAUCCAGACUAGAAAAAAAGAAGAUCAUUGAAUAAUGCAAGUAAAACAUUUGCUAUAUAGUCUUAAAUUGUACAGAAGUUUCAAGUUAAUGAAGAUUAAGUAUGUAAAACAAAUCCUAUCAUUCAAGCUUGUCAUCUGGAUUGCUAUUUUGGGAUAAAUUGCGCUGCACACAGGCAAAAAGUAGGCGUAAUGUCGCAAAACUUAACGUACCGUCAUGACACGCUACAUUAGCAGGGGAAGUAACUCGUAUUAUUGCGAAUUCUACUUUUCGUCAAAUUCGUAAUAUAUGUUUAUUAGAAAGCGUCUAGUUGACCGGAACCCAUGUCAUCUGGACGUUUAGUACACUUUAAAUAAGAUCAGAGGGAGUUUGGGAAGGAUAAAAUGAAUAAAAAAUAAUAAAUCAAUCAUGAACUGGCCCUUUCUUGUCUAUAGAUUCCAACACAUUUCUCAAUCUGCAUCAUUACUUUUCUUACAGGUUUGUUAAAUGCAGCAUAUAUGUUUGACGUCCCGGAGGUACAACAGGCGUGUUGGAACUUUGCACUCGGCUGUUUCGUACGGACGGACAACCUCUAUGAUUUACUAUCAUCCGCACAGCGUUAUGCAGAACAUAAAAUGACAAUCGAUCUUAUUAAAACGAUGGAGAAUUACACAAACGAUCACCCGGAAGUACUUCUGCAUAGCCGAUCUCUGGAAAAUCUAGCCGACUUGGUUUUCAGUCAAGCAAAACAGGAAGUGGUGUAACUUGAAAAGCUACAAGUUGGAAAUUUCAAAUAUCGGUAGCAUAUAAACACAUAUGUAAAAUAUGUUCUUUUUUGUUGUGAAAUAAGAAAAGAAAGGAAAUCUUGUCAUCGCAAAACAGCUUCCGGGAUUUUUAAAAUAAUAUUCACCAAGAAGUGUAUGCGAAAAUGGCAGUUUGAAGGUGUAGAAAUUUAUGUUUUGGAAAGUAGGGGAACUUCUUUUUUUGUAUUUCAAUUUUCGUCUUUUUAAGAAGUUCGUUCGAAAUGAAAAAAACUACAUGAGAAACUGUGAUAGUAGAUUGUGAUUAUAGAACAGUAUUGAUAGAUUAAUAGGGCCUAUUUGUGUUUAGCUACAUAAACACAUGUCAGUGUGUUGUCUUGCGUAUUUGUUAUUUUAAUGAUACUAGUACAUAUGCGUAAAUAGAAACCCUAAAGUACACUAUUGAAUUUUAUACAAACAUAUUUUUAUUUGAUCAAUUGUUAAUAUAUAUUUUAAGAUUUAAAUAACUGUAUAUAUUUCAGUGUCUGUCUUUACAAAACGUGUACUAUAUACAUGUAUAUGUAUAAUUUGUUUAAAGGAUCUUUUAUGGUUGUUUUAAUUUUGGUGGAUUUUAACAUGUAAUUGCGUGUUUUUGUAGCAGUUUGGACGAGUUUUGUUAAAUCAACACGUGUUUUCUUGUGGUAUGGAUUAACUCAUUGUAAUUGUUGAAUCAACACGUGUUGUAGUGGUGUGUCAAAACAACACGUGUUAGUUGUACCAAUGAUUUAUCAGAUCAACACGUAUUAGCAAUUAGUACUAGUAUUAGUGUUUUAAAAUAAAAACUUUACGAUUUUUUGCGAUAUGCAACGGCUCCAUAGGGCGUGUUGUAUCAACACGUGUUCUCAUGCAAUAUGAAUACGUUUUAAUAACGUUUUUAUCCACACGUGUUCUGUAACAAUGUGUAGCAGUUCCUCAACUGUGUUGUAACAACACGUGUAGCUAAGAUAAAUGUAGAAUGCUAUAACCAAUAUAGUUACAUAUUUAUCAUUAUCUUUGCCUUGCUUUUAAUAUUUUAAAAUAAUCGUCAUGUAAUAUAAAUAUAUAUAUAAAUAGAUAUUAUGUGUUUUACUGCAGGGGCGUUGCAGAAUGAAUGUUAUAUAUUUUACAUACUUUUUUUAGAAUCUCAUAUGUAUAUAAAUAGAUCAUCAUCAGCGUUGUUGUUACCAUGUUUUAAUAUUAUUGUUUUAAACAUUACAAGAAAAAGAUUCUUGUCUGCAUACAUUUUUAUAUAGCUGUGAUAUUGUUAUAUCUAGAUAAAAAUAGAGAUUAUAAAAACCGAAA